ACGGGUGAGUAAUGCGUAGGGAUCUGCCUUGUGGAUGGGGACAACUUGAGGAAACUCGAGCUAAUACCCGAUAAGCUCUACGGAGGAAAGGAGGGGACUGGAAACGGCCCUUCACCAUGAGAUGAACCUACGUCGGAUUAGCUAGUUGGUGGGGUAAAGGCCUACCAAGGCGAUGAUCCGUAGCUGGUCUGAGAGGAUGAACAGCCACACUGGGACUGAGACACGGCCCAGACUCCUACGGGAGGCAGCAGUGGGGAAUAUUGGACAAUGGGGGCAACCCUGAUCCAGCGAUGCCGCGUGUGCGAAGAAGGCCUGCGGGUUGUAAAGCACUUUGAUGGGGGAAGAAGGGGUGAGUUUGAAUAGAGCUCAUCAUUGACGUUACCCCAGGAACAAGCACCGGCUAACUCUGUGCCAGCAGCCGCGGUAAUACAGAGGGUGCGAGCGUUAAUCGGAAUUACUGGGCGUAAAGGGCGCGUAGGCGGCUAAAUAAGUUAGGUGUGAAAUCCCUGGGCUUAACCUAGGAAUUGCACUUGAUACUGUUAGGCUAGAGUAGAGUAGAGGGAAGUGGAAUUUCCGG
rnacentral:rRNA from 1 species